GCGUGAGUGAUGAAGGCCCUAGGGUUGUAAAGCUCUUUUACCCGGGAAGAUAGUGACUGUACCGGGAGAAUAAGCCCCGGCUAACUCCGUGCCAGCAGCCGCGGUAAUACGGAGGGGGCUAGCGUUGUUCGGAAUUACUGGGCGUAAAGCGCACGUAGGCGGCGUCGUAAGUCAGAGGUGAAAGCCCGGGGCUCAACCCCGGAUGUGCCUUUGAGACUGCAACGCUAGAAGGUGAGAGAGGUGAGUGGAAUUCCGAGUGUAGAGGUGAAAUUCGU
rnacentral:rRNA from 1 species